rnacentral:misc_RNA from 1 species
UGUUGACCUAGCUUCGCAUGGCAGGCUCCCUGCACUAUUGUGCGGCCAACUGUCAUGGGGCGGUCUCUUCGUUGUCCAUCGCCUAGUAUAUUUGCUUUACUGCGUUACUGGAYGAUUGUGAAUGGUUGCCUGUAUGGUUCUACCCUUCAUAGGCGUAGCACAUAUCAUCUGUCCCGUCGAUGUCUAUUUAGCUUGUUCUGUUAACGUUAGUUGUACAGGGCGGCCGAGAUGUUAGCGACUUCUAAGUGUUUCCAUGUACAUUGUCUUGGUCAACUGCACUCUAGAUGUUUGUUGGUUCUCAUGGAUGUGGCUCCCUAUUGUGACGACAUACUAUGUGAGACGUUGUCGUGCCUCGCAGAACUUGUGAGGUGUGCCCACUGCAUAUGAUACAUUGCUACUAUUUUUUCGCAAACAUGUCGUGGUUUAAGCGCCAUGUUGUAGUGAUCUCUAUAUCGGGGAUCGUUGUUGUUCGCUUGCGGCAUGCCUCUUAGACCGAAUGACUYGCGAUUGACAUGGUU